GACUCCUUCACGUCCUUACUCAACUUCGACAGCAAGAAAUAAAUACAAGAAUGAUUUCCGGGAGUCUGGAGGAUUUGAAAACCAAACUGUAGAGGAAUUGGAAGACUAUGCUGUAUACAAGGCUGAAGAGACUACAAAAUCUGUUAACGGCUGUAUGAAGAUUGCAGAAGAGAUGCGUGAGGAUGCAACGAAAACGUUGAUCACCUUACAUCAACAGUCUGUUAACGGCUGCCUGAAGAUUGCAGAAGAGAUUCGUGAGGAUGCAACUAAAACAUUGAUCACCUUACAUCAACAGGGAGAACAAAUUACAAGAACCCAUAUGACUGCAGCCGACAUUGACCAUGAUCUUAGCAGGGUAUGGCUUGUUUAGUCCACUGAUAUCUUUUUUUGGUUUUCUGCAAAAGCAGAGACAACUGUGGCCAACAUUAUCAUCUAUGUUAUUGGCUUUAAUUAACUGCCCAUAUCCAUUAUGUGUUUUAUAUUUCUGAUAAUUUUGUUAAUUAUUUCCUGAAGCAACUAUCUUCUCUUAUUUUUUUUCUUUGUUUGUUGGGUUCAAGUGAUAGUUUCUACUUUCUAUUUCAUUUGAAGAUGAAACUUGUUCGUUUGUCCGAUAUGCAUCUUUUAGAAGGAAAUAGAUUUUGGUAAGGGUUUUAUUAGAUCCUAAAGAAUCUGCUUUACCCUUUACCUAGACGUCCUCGUGCCUUUAAAGAUGUCUCACGAGCUGUAAAUCCUUCAUUACAUGUUUCUUGAUUAGGUAGAUUUUGCAUUUAAUUUCUUUCUGCAGCUGUUUUGCUAUUGUUGCUUGUUAUCUUGGGUGACUUAAGUUUGAAAUUUUAUUUCAGGGC
rnacentral:lncRNA from 1 species